rnacentral:misc_RNA from 1 species
AAGUCGUAACAAGGUCUCCGUAGGUGAACCUGCGGAGGGAUCAUUACCAGAGAUGGCGGGCCCCCGCGCCCCCGUCCCCAACCCUUUGUUGACAAAACCUCUUUGCCUCGGGGGCAGAGCGGCCGCCGCCGCCCCCGGAGGACCACCAAACUCUGUCUCUGUACGUCGGAGUCUUAAUGAAAAUGAAUAAAAACUUUUAACAACGGAUCUCUUGGUUCUG